rnacentral:rRNA from 1 species
UACGUAGGGUGCGAGCGUUGUCCGGAUUUAUUGGGCGUAAAGGGCUCGUAGGCGGCGUGUCGCGUCGGGAGUGAAAGACCGGGGCUUAACCCCGGUUCUGCUUCCGGUACGGGCAUGCUGGAGUGUGGCAGGGGAGACGUGAAUUCCUGGUGUAGCGGUGGAAUGCGCAGAUAUCAGGAGGAACACCGGUGGCGAAGGCGGGUCUCUGGGCCAUUACUGACGCUGAGGAGCGAAAGCGUGGGGAGCGAACAGG